GUAUUAUCUACAUAUUAUGUGUGAUAUCCUUCUUCAAUAUAAUCAAAUUAUAAUUUUUCCAAGACAAGCACUUAAUUUCAUUGAUAUAUAUUGGCCAAUUUUUUUGAAACUAAAUAUCAAUCAGAAGCGCGAGUUGAACGAAAAGAGCAUUUCCUUGUAUUUAGACAAGAAACGAAAUGGGAGCAAUGAGUACUCCCCCAAAACAAAUAGGCUUGGUUGAACUUGCAAUAUUCAUGGCUCGACCUUGAGUUGCGUACUAAUAACAAAUUUCACGGUGUGUAAAAAUGUGUGUGGAAUUAUCAAUACUAAUGAAGUUUCAUUCUUUUGUUGGUUAACAUAACAUCAAACAAAUAUUUAUUUUAUCUCAUUUCAAAGUGAUCAUAAAAAAAUUUACCAACAAAUCUUCAUGUUUAAAUAAAAAAUUAACAAAAUAAAAUUAAAAAGAAAAAGACACUCCUAGUUUCUUAAGUGAUAGAGGGAUGACCUUAAGACUCCUAUAUAAGGGAGGUCAGUGGUUCUACUCCACGAACUCCACCGAGGUAACAUGAAACUGGUAACGCAUAAAUGAUAGCGCGAGCCGUAGUAUGGACCAAGGCCAAGUAAAAAUAAAUGGUGCCUAACAACCCCCACAACUCCUAAUUAGCACAAUGACCCACGUAUGGUGUCCAUUAAUUACCAAUGCCUGCAACAUUUUGCAGUUUUAACAUGGAAAAUUCCACUGUACUAUUUCAGAUAUUAAUGCUAGAUGAAGAAAGCUUGAAAUCGAAAAUAUCUGUCUGUCUUUUUUUUUUCCCCCUAUCCAUCGUGGUUUUGGAUUGAAAAAUGAUGAAUUUUUGUUUAAAAGGAACAACUCCAUUCCUACUUAGGCUAAGAUAUCAGUUAUUUAAGCAACUUUAGGAUUCAAACCAGUAUAAAAUCGACUUGCACACAUCUUUAUUUAUUUAUUUUAUUUUUUUGGGGGGAAAAAUCGUCUUCUAGUANUGCGCAGCAGAAUAACUUUUCCUCUUUUAUGUGACAAAAUGGGAUAUUGAUAAAGCUUCCACUAUAUCACAAAAAUAGAAUUACAAGAAUCACAAUAACAUCAAGAAAAAGAAAAUAAUUUCUUGGUUAACUUGAGGCACUUAAUCUCUCUCUAUUUUUCUUUCUACACAAGGUAGAAUUUUCACACAAUUUUCUCUCUAUCUUUUCUAAUAGAGGCUCUCUAAAUU
rnacentral:lncRNA from 1 species